rnacentral:rRNA from 1 species
GACGAACGCUGGCGGCGUGCUUAACACAUGCAAGUCGAACGGAAAGGCCCUGCUUUUGUGGGGUGCUCGAGUGGCGAACGGGUGAGUAACACGCGAGUAACCUGCCCUUGACUUUGGGAUAACUUCAGGAAACUGGGGCUAAUACCGGAUAGGAGCUCCUGCUGCAUGGUGGGGGUUGGAAAGUUUCGGCGGUUGGGGAUGGACUCGCGGCUUAUCGGCUUGUUGGUGGGGUAGUGGCUUACCAAGGCUUUGACGGGUAGCCGGCCUGAGAGGGUGACCGGCCACAUUGGGACUGAGAUACGGCCCAGACUCCUACGGGAGGCAGCAGUGGGGAAUAUUGCACAAUGGGCGGAAGCCUGAUGCAGCAACGCCGCGUGCGGGAUGACGGCCUUCGGGUUGUAAACCGCUUUCACCUGUGACGAAGCGUGAGUGACGGUAAUGGGUAAAGAAGCACCGGCUAACUACGUG